ACCUACAACUGAAAUACUAUUUCAUUAACCUAACAGAGAAUCGACAGGUUUAUGAGAGUGACAGAGAACACUACUUCAUACAUUCCAAAUACAGCUCCAUGGAAUAAAACAUACUUAACAGUUCUUCUAAAAAUGAAAUCAAAACAAAAUAAACAGCCAAGUAUGUCACAAACAGCGUUCUUCAUUUCAACUCUUAGCAUGGAGGAUGUACAUCACAUUGAAUUGAGAAUGUGUACCUGGAAGUGAGUUAUAAUAGAAGAAGGAGAGGUUUAGCUUCACUGAAGAGCAAUUUUGCACAACAAACAGCAGUGACAGGAGAUUCAAGCUCAAAAUUAUCAAUAGAUGUUGACAGAAAACACGUAAAGCAAAAACCACGAAGAGGAGUAAAUUUUGCUCCAGAAAACACUCAGUCAAACCAACUUGAUUUGAGAAAUACUCAGAUAACAACCGACACGUGCAUUCAAAUCCAAACUCAACCAAAAUCCAACUCAAUUGGACCCAAAAACUAGUCGAAAUCAGUAGAUGCAAUUAACAGACUUUGGACUACUAAUGGAACAGUAACCCUUUUUUGAGUUUUUCUAUUAGAUUUCUAUUGUUUUUGUUUUUUUAAAAAAAAAUCAAACUACAACUUCAGAUCGGGAAAUAAACUAAUGAAAGGUAAUUGUUUUUGAAUUGAAAAAUAGUUGACUCCCCUCAAAACCCCAACCCCUAACAGGGCAAAUCAAAUCUCUUUUAUAGACAACACAAGAGUGAAAAAUCAGAAUUUUGGGUUUCUUUUUUAGUCCCCCCCCCCCCUUUCACUUUGAUCACCUUAUUUCUAACUUGUUACUCAAGCAAAUGCCCUUAAUUUGCUGAAACCUACACUAAAGUACCAUUCUAGACGGCCCUAGGAUGCUCUUCUACCCACAAAAUACCUACACUACCCUUACCCUUACUUUGGAAUUGCUAAUCCUAAAGAAACUACCCUUUUCUAUGCCUAAAAUGCCCUUCCACUAGUAUAAAAUUUACAUACUAGAGUUAACUGAUCCCAACCCCUCAUCCUAGCUGAAAUUUAACUAUAGUUAAUUAACAAAUGAUCACUCAGCUAUAUCCAUACCUUUAAAUCUAAUCAAACUGCAAAUGAAGACUGAAACUCAAUUAAACUAAACUUAAACUAACAAAAUCAUUAAUUCAAAUAAACAAGAAUUGAACAAUUUCAAGGCGGGCUGGGAACAGUAACGAGAAGAAACUCUAUUGAAUCUUUGAAUUAAGAAGAAAAGACCUUGACUCAGAAUUUGCUAACAAUAACAAGACGAAACUCUAUCGAAAUUAAACUAACAAUUAGAAUGUCUGGAAAUUGAAUUACACAUGAAUCAAAUCAAACAAAACUUAACAUGCAAAGAGACCUCAAUGAUUAAGACAGAUGAAAGAGAAGCAACAGAGGAAUUAACUAAGAGAAUCGUAGAGCUACAGAAUACUUACUACAGAAAGCACUCGACCUUGAAGAAUCUCCUCGAAACUGGUUCAAUUCCCAAAACUCUAGACCCGCAUUUUAGGGCCUUCUGCUUGGAUUCGAGGGGUUCUAGGUGUGAAAUAGCGAUGAGGGAAGGAAGACGGUUGCCUGGUAUGUUUUUGGGUUCAUUUGGGCCAACUUGUGACUUGGCCGAAAAACUUCAAUUGUAGAUUCGACGAGCUUAGGGAAUAUUCGACGGAAAACAUUAUGGGGGUUGGAAAGAGGAGUUCAUGGGGAACCUACGGUGUUUCUCUGGUGGCCAUUGGCGUAGGUAGCGUUUCCCUCCGGCGAGGAUUACGGCGAAGAACAAUGGUGGAGGCGGAGAGGGACAGGGUACGAGGUGGG
rnacentral:lncRNA from 1 species